AGGCUGUUGGUUCAAAGUCCAGCGUCCGUGUUUUUUACACUGACUGUAUAGAAAGAGGAGGUACAGUAAAUGCACCCCAUAUAUACCUCACCCCAGGCUCUUUGCCUGGUCUGUAUUGUAACUUGGGGGACAAAA